rnacentral:lncRNA from 1 species
GAGAAGAUUCUCCGGAUAUUUCUCUCCUGGCACUGUGCACCUUGUACAGGAGGUGUCUGAGGAGGCGUGAGAAGCUGCAGACAUCCCAACAGAAAAUAAAAGAAGCUUCAGGACCCUGCAAAUGAUAAAGCUGGAGCGUUCCCCAAAUAUUCCUUGGGACUGCUGCUGCUGUUUGGCAGCACUUCCUCACUUAAGCUGACGAGUUAACUGCCUUUGCAAGAAGGGUGUUGGAGGAUUCUUCCAGGGGAUGCUUGAGAGCAGAAACCCACUACGAGGACUCCCUUCCUCUCUGUGCCAGCGUCUCAUCCCACAGCGUACAGGGAGAACGCAGAAGCUACCAGGAUCCAUGAAGUUCCUCCUUGAGCAUCAUUUCAAAUUUUCAGUGCAUUUAGAAGGUCUUCAAAAGGGUAUUUUCGGCAUUGCUCGUCUGACUUUGGAAUACAAGGAGUGUCGGCUCUGGUGUCUGCUGGCUUCAGCGAGGGCUGGUGGGCGUCCGGGCAGCCCGUUACUGUCUGGGUUCCAGACRGUCAUGAAGAUCCUGGGUAUGACCUGUGGAUGCUGUCACUGAAAAAGGGAAAACUUGGGGGGACCUUCCUCCAACCUGAUACCAAGGAAGAGGAGAGGCUGGCUUGUUUCAGCAGGAGAGGAG